rnacentral:rRNA from 1 species
UAAGUACAUGCCGUAUUAAGGCGAAACCGCGAAUGGCUCAUUAAAUCAGUUAUGAUUUUUUGGAUCGUACUCAAUUACUUGGAUAACUGUGGUAAUUCUAGAGCUAAUACAUGCAGCAGAGCUCCGACCUUCGGGAACGAGCGCUUUUAUUAGACCAAAACCAAUCGGGCUUCGGCUCGUUUUGUGUGUUGACUCUGUAUAACUUUGGGCAGAUCGCACGGGCUCGUCCCGGCGACGUAUCUUUCAAGUUUCUGCCUUAUCAACUGUCGAUGGUAGGUUACAUGCCUACCAUGGUCGCUACGGGUGACGGGGGAUCAGGGUUCGAUUCCGGAGAGGGAGCCUGAGAAACGGCUACCACAUCCAAGGAAGGCAGCAGGCACGCAAAUUACCCACUCCCGGCACGGGGAGGUAGUGACGAAAAAUAACAAUACGGGACUCUUUUGAGACCCCGUAAUUGGAAUGAGUUGACUUUAAAUCCUUGAACGAGGAUCAAUUGGAGGCGAAAUCAGGUGCCAGCAACCGCGGUAAAACCUGUUCCAAUAGCUUAUAUUAAUGUUGUUGCGGUUAAAAAGCUCGUAGUUGGAUCUGAGUUCUAGACGGGUGGACCUCCUUCUGGAGAUAUCUGCCCGGGCUGAACAGCCUGCGGGUUUCCCUCGGUGAUCUUGACCGGUUGUCGAUGGGGUUACCCCGCGAGUUUACUUUGAAGAAAUUAGAGUGCUCAAAGCAGGCUAACGCUUGGAUAAUGGUGCAUGGAAUAAUGGAAUAGGACCUAGGUUCUAUUUUGUUGGUUUUCGGAACCAUAGGAAAUGAUUAAGAGAAG